rnacentral:rRNA from 1 species
CCUACGGGUGGCAGCAGUAGGGAAUCUUUCACAAUGGGCGAAAGCCUGAUGGAGCAACGCCGCGUGCAGGAUGAAGGCCUUCGGGUUGUAAACUGCUUUUAUAAGCGAGAAAUAUGAUGGUAACUUAUGAAUAAGGAUCGGCUAACUACGUGCCAGCAGCCGCGGUCAUACGUAGGAUCCGAGCAUUAUCCGGAGUGACUGGGUGUAAAGAGUUGCGUAGGUGGCAUAAUAAGUAGCUAGUGAAAUCUGGUGGCUCAACCAUUCAGACUAUUAGCUAAACUGUUAAGCUCGAGACCGGUAGGGGUAACUUGAAUUUCUAGUGUAGGAGUGAAAUCCGUAGAUAUUAGAAGGAACACCAAUAGCGUAGGCAGGUUGCUGGGACGGUUCUGACACUAAGGCACGAAAGCGUAGGGAGCAAACGGGAUUAGAUACCCGAGUAGUC